AGAUUCCUCCAUGAUCAUCAUUAUUUGUGUGUGUGUGAUUCUGCUGCUGAUUGGUGGAUUCACUCUGAUUGUGUGUAAAUUAAGACACAAGAGACGAGGAAGAACCUCGACAUCAGACAAGAGAAAGAAAAAUAAAAUGUCAUCAUAUGCAGACAGCAGACGUGAUUCUCUCACAGAUCCUGGAUCAGCUCAAAUGAACAGUCAUGAUGAAUUACCCACAAUCCCCUCUGAUGAGCUCAUUUACGCGUCUGUCAGUUUCCAGAAGCAUGAAGAGUCUCUCAGUGACGCUACAGUCUCCUUCAGUAAGGACCAGAUUCACUCUGAUUACGCCACAGUCAUUUACCGCAUGAGACUCAACUAACUCACUUAUAACAGAUCACAGAUCAGCACACUUUACUAACAGUAUUGCUUACGUUUACAGUUCAUUGAUAAAAAUAUCUUUAUAAUCCAUAGUUUAGUGUUAAACAGAUGUUUUAUUGAUCAGGGUCGUUCAGUCUGUUGAAUCAUGAAACACUUUAUAGUUUCUGCUGCUGAUCAUGUUUCUUCUUUCACAUGUUUAAAAUAGCAGAUGUGUCAGAGGUUUACUGGUGUGUGUACAGAGUUUGUCAUCUCAGUUUAUCUGAGGGUGUGAUAAAAACAGGAAAUAAAACCACUGAGUGACACUUAUAGAAUAAACUGUAAAGUUUCCACUCCAAAUGCAGAGACACUAUAGUUAAUAAAGUCUCUUUAACAGCAGCUGUUUAAAUGAUUUCUCUUUCUCGUCUCUCUGAAUAUUGAUUCUCUUUGACCUGCUUUUGUUUUGUACAUGCAAGAGACUUUUGCUGAUGUUGUUUUUAGUUCAUUCUUGCUCUGUUGGAACUGAGGUUAUGCAGAGUUUUACUGCAUAAUCAUAUCUUUUAUUCAUUGAAAAAUAAAC